CCUACGGGCGGCAGCAGUGAGGAAUAUUGGUCAAUGGGCGAGAGCCUGAACCAGCCAAGUCGCGUGAAGGAUGACGGCCCUACGGGUUGUAAACUUCUUUUGUCAGGGAGCAAUUGAGUCCACGUGUGGUCUGAGCGAGAGUACCUGAAGAAAAAGCAUCGGCUAACUCCGUGCCAGCAGCCGCGGUAAUACGGAGGAUGCGAGCGUUUUCCGGAUUUAGUGGGUUUAAAGGGUGCGUAGGCGGGCUGUUAAGUCAGCGGCAAAAGCCCGGGGCUCAAACCCGGCGAGCCGUUGAAACUGGCUGUCUUGAGAUGUCGAGAGGUAUGCGGAAUGCGCAGUGUAGCGGUGAAAUGCUUAGAUAUUGCGCAGAACUCCGAUUGCGAAGGCAGCAUACCGGCGGCGAUCUGACGCUGAGGCACGAAAGCGUGGGUAUCGAACAGGAUUAGAUACCCUUGUAGUC
rnacentral:rRNA from 1 species